rnacentral:tRNA from 1 species
GCCCCCAUCGUCUAGAGGCCUAGGACACCAGCCUUUCAAGCUGGAAACAGCGAUUCGAAUUCGCUUGGGGGCA